rnacentral:rRNA from 1 species
CAGGAUGAACGCUAGCUACAGGCUUAACACAUGCAAGUCGAGGGGCAGCAUUGGGAUAGCUUGCUAUUCAGAUGGCGACCGGCGCACGGGUGAGUAACGCGUAUCCAACCUCCUGCCAGUAGGGAACAGCCCGGCGAAAGUCGGAUUAAUGCCCUAUGUUCUUCAAUGCGGACAUCUAAGUUGAAGGAAAGAUUCAUCGCUGGCAGAUGGGGAUGCGUCCGAUUAGCUUGCCGGCGGGGUAACGGCCCACCGGGGCGACGAUCGGUAGGGGUUCUGAGAGGAAGGUCCCCCACACUGGUACUGAGACACGGACCAGACUCCUACGGGAGGCAGCAGUGAGGAAUAUUGGUCAAUGGGCGUAAGCCUGAACCAGCCAAGUAGCGUGCAGGGAACCGACGGCCCUACGGGUUGUAAACUGCUUUUAUGCGGAGAUAAAGUGCGGCACGUGUGCCGCUUUGCAGGUACCGCAUGAAUAAGGACCGGCUAAUUCCGUGCCAGCCGCUGC